rnacentral:lncRNA from 1 species
GCAAAGAGGAUCUGAGGGCUUCACAUGGGGACUUCACUUCAGAACUCUUCCAAAUAAUUGUUUUCUUGGACGUUUCCCAGAGCUUGAGAAACAAGGAAGAAGCAACAGCAACCUAAGAUGGAUGUGGAGGAGUGAAUGUGGAACUUGAGCCCACAGUGUCCCAGAGCUGAAGAGGUCACAGCGUUCAUCUGACCUAGGCCCACCGUGUUGAUUUCUCUUCUGAUUACAAGCAGAACAACUGAAAACAGAAGGCAGAGGCGUGCAGAAGUGAUUCUAGUCACCAUCUACACAGGAAGUGUUGUCAAUUGUGUAGGGAAAGGAUACUACCACUCCGCCUAAUCGACAAAGACCCUAACACAGGCAGCAAGUGGAAAUCG